AAAGGGGCAUACAUAGUUUUAAAAGCCCCUGAUUUUGAUGAUCCGGAGUUCCAUAGUUUUGAAGCAACUGCUCCAAGACCAGAGGUAUGGACUUUUAUAUUGGUCAGCUAGCAGAAUGAAUGACAAACUUAUCUUAUUCUAAUCUCUAUGGCAUGUCCUUUACCAAUGGUAGUUUAAAAAAAUAAUGGGAGAUAGCAUACAUACAGUUAUCUACUUUUUUUUUAUUUUUAAUUUCUGCCUAAGUACACAUUCUCAAGGCAUUGAUUAUUUAUACAGGCAAGGGCCUAUUAUGACUAUGAAGAUGUG
rnacentral:misc_RNA from 1 species